rnacentral:rRNA from 1 species
GGGGAUGCCUUGGCUCUCAGAGACGACGAAGGACGUGGUAAGCUGCGAAAAGCUACGGGGAGCUGCAAACGAGCGUUGAUCCGUAGAUGUCCGAAUGGGGCAACCCAAGGGC